AGAGUUUGAUCCUGGCUCAGGAUGAACGCUGGCGGCGUGCCUAACACAUGCAAGUCGAGCGAAGCGCCCGCGCGGAUUCCCUCGGGAUGAAGCGCGGAUGACUGAGCGGCGGACGGGUGAGUAACGCGUGGGCAACCUGCCUUACACAGGGGGAUAACAGUUAGAAAUGACUGCUAAUACCGCAUAAGACCCCAGAACCGCAUGGUUCUGAGGUAAAAACUCCGGCGGUGUAAGAUGGGCCCGCGUCUGAUUAGGUAGUUGGUGAGGUAACGGCUCACCAAGCCGACGAUCAGUAGCCGACCUGAGAGGGUGACCGGCCACAUUGGGACUGAGACACGACCCAGACUCCUACGGGAGGCAGCAGUGGGGAAUAUUACACAAUGGGGGAAACCCUGAUGCAGCGACGCCGCGUGAGCGAUGAAGUAUUUCGGUAUGUAAAGCUCUAUCAGCAGGGAAGAAAAUGACGGUACCUGACUAAGAAGCCCCGGCUAACUACGUGCCAGCAGCCGCGGUAAUACGUAGGGGGCAAGCGUUAUCCGGAUUUACUGGGUGUAAAGGGAGCGUAGACGGUCCUGCAAGCCAGAUGUGAAAGCCCGGGGCUCAACCCCGGGACUGCAUUUGGAACUGUAAGGCUAGAGUGUCGGAGAGGCAGGCGGAAUUCCUAGUGUAGCGGUGAAAUGCGUAGAUAUUAGGAGGAACACCAGUGGCGAAGGCGGCCUGCUGGACGAUGACUGACGUUGAGGCUCGAAAGCGUGGGGAGCAAACAGGAUUAGAUACCCUGGUAGUCCACGCCGUAAACGAUGACUACUAGGUGUCGGGGGGCAAAGCCCAUCCGGUGCCGCCACCCAACCACAUAAGUAAUUCCCCCCUGGGGGAUUACCUUCCCAAAAAAUGAAAACUCAAAGGAAAUUGACGGGGGACCCGCACAAGCGGUGGAGCAUGUGGUUUAAUUCGAAGCAACGCGAAGAACCUUACCUGAUCUUGACAUCCCUUCUGACCGGCAAGUAAUGUUGCCUUUCCUUCGGGACAGAGGAGACAGGUGGUGCAUGGUUGUCGUCAGCUCGUGUCGUGAGAUGUUGGGUUAAGUCCCGCAACGAGCGCAACCCUUAUCUUCAGUAGCCAGCAUUUAGGAUGGGCACUCUGGAGAGACUGCCAGGGAUAACCUGGAGGAAGGUGGGGAUGACGUCAAAUCAUCAUGCCCCUUAUGACCAGGGCUACACACGUGCUACAAUGGCGUAAACAAAGGGAAGCGAACAUGUGAGUGCAAGCGAAUCCCAAAAAUAACGUCUCAGUUCGGAUUGUAGUCUGCAACUCGACUACAUGAAGCUGGAAUCGCUAGUAAUCGCGAAUCAGAAUGUCGCGGUGAAUACGUUCCCGGGUCUUGCACUCACCGCCCGUCA
rnacentral:rRNA from 1 species